UGCAAGUCGAACGAACCUUCGGGUUAGUGGCGGACGGGUGAGUAACGCGUGAGAAUCUGCCCUCAGGAGGGGGAUAACAGUUGGAAACGACUGCUAAUACCCCAUAUGCCGAGAGGUGAAACGAAUUUCGCCUGGGGAUGAGCUCGCGUCUGAUUAGCUUGUUGGUGGGGUAAUGGCCUACCAAGGCUUUGAUCAGUAGCUGGUCUGAGAGGACGAUCAGCCACACUGGGACUGAGACACGGCCCACACUCCUACGGGAGGCAGCAGUGGGGAAUUUUCCGCAGUGGGCGAAAGCCUGACGGAGCAACGCCGCGUGAGGGAUGAAGGCCUUUGGGCUGUAAACCUCUUUUCUCAAGGAAGAAGAUCUGACGGUACUUGAGGAAUAAGCCACGGCUAAUUCCGUGCCAGCAGCCGCGGUAAUACGGGAGUGGCAAGCGUUAUCCGGAAUUAUUGGGCGUAAAGCGUCCGCAGGCGGCCGUUUAAGUCUGUUGUUAAAUUGUGGAGCUCAACUCCAUCACGGCAAUGGAAACUGUUCGGCUUGAGUAUGGUAGGGGCAGAGGGAAUUUCCGGUGUAGCGGUGAUAUGCGUAGAUAUCGGGAAGAACACCUGUGGCGAAAGCGCUCUGCUGGGCCAUUACUGACGCUCAUGGACGAAAGCCAGGGGAGCGAAAUGGAUUAGAUACCCAUGUAGUCCUGGCCGUAAACGAUGAACACUAGAUGUUGGGGGAAUCGACCCCCUCAGUGUCGUAGCUAACGCGUUAAGUGUUCCGCCUGGGGAGUACGCACGCAAGUGUGAAACUCAAAGGAAUUGACGGGG
rnacentral:rRNA from 1 species